rnacentral:rRNA from 1 species
AUUGAACGCUGGCGGCAGGCCUAACACAUGCAAGUCGAGCGGAUGAAGGGAGCUUGCUCCUGGAUUCAGCGGCGGACGGGUGAGUAAUGCCUAGGAAUCUGCCUGGUAGUGGGGGAUAACGUCCGGAAACGGGCGCUAAUACCGCAUACGUCCUGAGGGAGAAAGUGGGGGAUCUUCGGACCUCACGCUAUCAGAUGAGCCUAGGUCGGAUUUGCUAGUUGGUGGGGUAAAGGCCUACCAAGGCGACGAUCCGUAACUGGUCUGAGAGGAUGAUCAGUCACACUGGAACUGAGACACGGUCCAGACUCCUACGGGAGGCAGCAGUGGGGAAUAUUGGACAAUGGGCGAAAGCCUGAUCCAGCCAUGCCGCGUGGGUGAAGAAGGUCUUCGGAUUGUAAAGCACUUUAAGUUGGGAGGAAGGGCAGUAAGUUAAUACCUUGCUGUUUUGACGUUACCAACAGAAUAAGCACCGGCUAACUUCGU